rnacentral:rRNA from 1 species
UUCGGGUGGUGGAAAGUAGCAGACGGGUGAGUAACGCGUGGGAACGUGCCUUUCGGUUCGGGAUAACCCAGGGAAACUUGGGCUAAUACCGAAUAAGCCCUUACGGGGAAAGAUUUAUCGCCGAAGGAUCGGCCCGCGUCUGAUUAGCUAGUUGGUGAGGUAACGGCUCACCAAGGCGACGAUCAGUAGCUGGUCUGAGAGGAUGAUCAGCCUCACUGGGACUGAGACACGGCCCAGACUCCUACGGGAGGCAGCAGUGGGGAAUAUUGGACAAUGGGCGCAAGCCUGAUCCAGCCAUGCCGCGUGGGUGAUGAAGGCCCUAGGG